rnacentral:misc_RNA from 1 species
GAGAACACCUUUGGGGGUAGCCCCUAGAGAGAAAAAAGAUUGGAAAAUUGUUCAUUAUAUUCAUUAACACUUAAAUUAUAUUCAUAGCACUUGUUGAAUUCCUUUACAGUCCCAUGCCAAGAAAUAAAUGUUGAAUGGAUUAAACUUCUCAGGCAAUUGAUCUGGUUCUAAUUCCAAAUCGAGUAUUCCAGUAAUUGCAAUUACACAACCUUCACUUGACAAAAACAACAACAACUAAGCCUUAA